rnacentral:rRNA from 1 species
UUCCAGACUCCUACGGGAGGCAGCAGUGGGGGAUAUUGCACAAUGGGGGAAACCCUGAUGCAGCGACGCCGCGUGUGGGAAGACGGUCCUCUGGAUUGUAAACCACUGUCCCCAGGGACGAAGAUGACGGUACCUGGGGAGGAAGCUCCGGCUAACUACGUGCCAGCAGCCGCGGUAAUACGUAGGGAGCGAGCGUUGUCCGGAAUUACUGGGUGUAAAGGGAGCGUAGGCGGGACUGCAAGUUGGGUGUCAAAUCUACCGGCUCAACCGGUAGCCGCACUCAAAACUGCAGUUCUUGAGUGAAGUAGAGGCAGGCGGAAUUCCUAGUGUAGCGGUGAAAUGCGUAGAUAUUAGGAGGAACACCAGUGGCGAAGGCGGCCUGCUGGACGAUGACUGACGUUGAGGCUCGAAAGCGUGGGGAGCAAACAGGAUUAGAUACCCUGGUA